CCCAGUGUUAGAAGGUGAUGUAAAUUGGUGGCUUGGCACCCCGUAAGUGUGUGGAUAGUGUGGGGAUAUGCCGUCCAUGGUGGUGCUAAAAAAGCAAUGGAAUGACACACUAAUGCUCCCAUGACAAGGGCUUUCAUUAUCACCUCAAUGCUUUUCACUAUCUUCUUCGAGAUCAAAGAUCGUUAUAACACACUGAGAUUGUCUUAUCAGGUACUUGGCGUGCAAGUUGUCAAUUUGUGAUGAUAAAGUCGAGUCUGGUAUAAUUUUCAUUUGCAACUCCAGAGUUGAUCUUUGCACUGUUUCUGCUAUACUAUUUCAAGGUCUUCGAGAGACAGAUAGGUUCCCAUGAACACUCAGUGAGUUUUAAAUAUAGAUUCCUGAAUUUUUGGGCAAUCUCCUAAUAUGCUUAUGUUCAUGUGCUUGGUUUUCUUCUCCACAGUUGUCACCUCUCUUAUAAGACGCUUUCCCAACAACAACAUUAAAAGUGGUUGUUGGUCAUGGUUUGUGUUAGUGGCCUGUAUCAGUAAGUGGACUUUAGAGUGUUUGACAUAGUGCAAG